rnacentral:rRNA from 1 species
UCUACGGGCGGCUGCAGUGAGGAAUAUUGGUCAAUGGGCGCGAGCCUGAACCAGCCAAGUCGCGUGAGGGAAGACGGUCCUAUGGAUUGUAAACCUCUUUUGUCGGGGAGCAAAAGACGCCACGCGUGGCGUUCCGAGAGUACCCGAAGAAAAAGCAUCGGCUAACUCCGUGCCAGCAGCCGCGGUAAUAAGGAGGAUGCGAGCGUUAUCCGGAUUGAUUGGGUUUAAAGGGUGAGCAGGCGGAAGAUCAAGUCAGCGGUAAAAUUGAGAGGCUCAACCUCUUCGAGCCGUUGAAACUGGUUGUCUUGAGUGAGCGAGAAGUAUGCGGAAUGCGUGGUGUAGCGGUGAAAUGCAUAGAUAUCACGCAGAACUCCGAUUGCGAAGGCAGCAUACCGGCGCUCAACUGACGCUCAUGCACGAAAGUGUGGGUAUCGAACAGGAUUAGAUACCCUUGUAGUC